CAAGUUAUGAUGCCACAUUUACCCUGAAGGCUAAACAUUUAACAGUGUGGGAAUCCUGCUUAGAUGGUGGUCACUUUUGGUCAUUAACUUCCUAUGUCCUACACAGGACCUUCGACAGCAGGGGAAAAGGAGGAAAGGUGUAGAGAAGGUCCUUCUCCCAAGGGAGGAGGAAAGCAUCACCCAAGGAAUGUUGUCCGAUCCCCACUCUGGAGCAGUAGCCUGGACAUUUCUUCUUUAGAUACUAAGUGACUGGAGGGUAGCUCUGGAGUUGUUCAGGGUGUGAAGAGAGGUGUCAGUCUUCUUGGUGAAGAGCUUCGUGCCCUCAAAUGGAAGAAGGUCCUCAAAUGUGGACUGUACCUCUUUUGAGAAGCCUGCCAACCGGAGCUAUGAUGCUAGUCACAUCACCAGAGUCAUGGAGAUGGACCUAGCCACCGUCUUGCCUGCUUCAAGGGCAGACUGCAGUGAUGUCUUUGCCAUUAGUUGACCCUUCUGGAUAAUGGCAUUGAACAAGUUGCGAUGUGCUUCUGGCAUUUUUUUCCCCAAUAAAAAUCAUUCAUUUUUGA